rnacentral:rRNA from 1 species
UAGGGAAUAUUGGUCAAUGGAGGCAACUCUGAACCAGCCAUGCCGCGUGCAGGAAGACGGCCUUCUGGGUUGUAAACUGCUUUAGUAAGGGAGGAAAGGUUCUAAUGCGUUAGGGCACAGACAGUACCUUACCAACAAGCACCGGCUAACUCCGUGCCAGCAGCCGCGGUAAUACGGAGGGUGCAAGCGUUGUCCGGAUUUAUUGGGUUUAAAGGGUGCGUAGGCGGGCAAUUAAGUCAGUGGUGAAAUGCUACAGCUCAACUGUAGAGUUGCCAUUGAAACUGAAUGUCUUGAGUACAGACGAGGCAGGCGGAAUUUAUGGUGUAGCGGUGAAAUGCAUAGAUACCAUAAAGAACACCUAUAGCGAAGGCAGCUUGCCAGGUUGGCACUGACGCUGAGGCACGAGAGCGUGGGGAGCGAACAGGAUUAGAUACCCCCGUAGUCC